rnacentral:lncRNA from 1 species
CAAUAGAUUUUAAAUCGACUAGAAUUGCUUCAAAGUUCAAACAAUAUCUUGCACAAUGAAUAUAAGCUGACAACGAAGCAACAUUCUAAACUGUCGUACUCUGAUAUAAUGGGUUAAUAUUUUGCAAAUAAAGUAUGAGAAAUAAAACAUGAAACUCAUACAACAAGAAUAUAAUUAGUUACAUGGUUCAACCCAAAAGGGCUACAUCCAAGGGCACGAUAAACAGAAAUCGAUUACACCAAUGAAAGUUACAGCAAAGAUUUUGGAACAAACCUCGCCAAAAACACAAUGAAGCAAACCCUUUUAAACCUGCUCUCCCAAACGACAUCAUGCCGAUCUCUUAUCUCUAUUCCAUAACUUGACUAUUGUCUAAAAAGAGAACAACUUUGAGAGCAAACAAAAUUUUAUCUCACAAAAGGGGGAAAUAAUCCAAAAUCUCCAUGAGAACCCUUCUCUACAAGAAAAAAACCUCUUAAUCUCCAGGAACAAGCCUCUCAAUCUCCAGGAGGUACCAUCACAAUAUCUAGGAGUCUACAAGAGGCACCAUCACUAUUUAUAGGAGUCUACAGCAGGCACCAUCACAAUGUUUCUCUUCAUAGGAAGAUGUACUAUCACAAUGUCUCUCCAAAAAAAGUUUUCUUCUCUAAGAGGAAAUUGUAUCUUAUGUACAUGAGACUCUACCUCCCUCUCUCUCUCUAGAAGAACCACCAUUCCAAUAUGAUGAUCCAAAUUGGGCACACAAAUUUACUGCAUUUUCAUCCCAUAUAUAUAAGAUUAUGAGUCUAUAUUAAAUAGAAAACUUCUUAUAGACAUUACGUUUAUCUCAAAACCCAAGAGAUAAAUUCAAGAGUCCUAAUCUUUUUGGAUUUCUAUUUCAUUUGAGAAACUUAUCAAUAUACCAAUAUAAAUCUCGUAUAAUAAGGAAAUAAAAUAUCUCAAUCUCAUAAAAUAUAAAAAUAUCUCAAUCCCACAUAUGAAAAUAUCUCAAUCAAUCUCACAAAAUAUGGGAUUUCCCUGUGCGGGUGAUUCUAGAUAGCACUAAAUCCAACAUAAACAACAAUGAUCAUUGAAUAGCCUGCCAUCACUUGCAAUCAUCGAUCCAAUAAUAGUGAACGCAACAAAACUCUAAGAUCAUAGCUUAAUGACAUAUGCAUAGUUGUCACAGAGGACACCAGGACCCAAACGACACACAUAAACAAAAUCCUCAAUUCAUCCAUAUAGUGUUGUCAGUAAUAUUACCCAUAUUUCCUUCUCCUUAUAAUUAAAGGGAAACUAUAUCCAACAGCACAAGAACCAUAAAGAAAGCAGAAUGAAGCAUAACACAUGAGCAUGUGCUGAUGAGCUCAGAACCUCCAACACUUCGACACUGGUUACAUUCAUACCAAUCUAGAGAAGCAUGAAUAUGCAUAUCUCACAAUAGAGUUUCAUUCCUUUUUCUAGUAAUUUUUCAAAUAAUUAUAACAUUUUUUAACAUUUGCAGUUAAAAGAUCAAAAUUUCCAAGGGAACAUAUAUUUAUAAGGGUAGGCCUGUAUAAUUAACUGUUAAUAGCAUAGAAACAUAGAAGAGAGCGCCCCAAAAUCGCAAGGUUCGGCAUCUAUUCAGCUCUAUAGCCAAAUAAUUCAUAUUCUCCCUAAUUUUCAUCAUAAUUUUUAUUUUUUAGAUGUUAGAAACUUUAGGAACCCAGUUAGAACCAGAUUACUACUCCAUGAAAUGAGAACAAAAAAGAAAAAAAAAAAAUUACAAAAUAUCCUCAAUGCAUCUAAAUCAAACAAACGACCACAAACAAAUCAGUCCGAUAUCAAGCUACACAUACAUCAAUCCAAUUCAUUAAUCAACUAGUGAAUGUUAAAAAGUACAUGACUAAAUAUUAAAAAUAAGGUGUAGUUGGCAUACGGAUGCAUCCGUAGGUGUAGAGGUAAGGUGCACCUUCAAAUUUUAUCAUGUAUAUAAUUUUGAUGCAAAAUGUUCUUAGGAUUAUCUCAAAAUCUAUUUUUAUAUCUAAUUAUACAAUUUUAAAUUUCAAAAAAAGUUAAAAUCAAAUAGAUCUAUAAACAUAUGAAAAUCUUGAAAAUGGACGGUGUAGAUAAUAUGUUGUUAAAACACGCUAUUUCUGAGACUUAAACUCUUUUUAUUUUUCAUAGUCAUUCAUCUCGAUGUCGAGAUGAUCAAUCAAAGGGUUUUUUAAUAUUAAAACUACCUUUUCCAAUGAAUUUUUGAGGGAUAUCCGUAGUUCUACGUUAUAAGGUUGCAUCCUUAUAUAAACUUUUUCCUUAAAAAUAAGUUGCAUCCUUAUAUAAACUUUUUCCUUAAAAAUAACCAACGAGCUAGUGUUAAGGAAAUCAAAUUUAAGUAAAGAAAAAUAAACUGAAAGAUGGGGGGGUAGGAGGGAACCAAAAAUGGUUUUUUAAUUGAUAAAUCCUAAAUCCUAAAACACAAAGCCUUGGAUCCUUAUACAUAAAAAGUAAAAAUGGAGGUGAGAAACAAUCUUUGGGGCCACAACCAAUGCUACCUUGACCACAGGACCCUUGAAACUCCUGGAGACUAGGCUCAACGGCUUCACAGAAGAAACCCUAACAAGAGAGGGUCUCAAUCGGAGGGCCUCUGCUUGAAAUCGAGGAACCGGCAAACUGAAUAGAAGACGUAAAUUUUGUGGCCUCCAUGAAAGACUACAGAGCAUCUCAGAAGUCUUUGAGCAAGUGAUUUAACCCUAGUUUUUGAGAGAGGGAAGGGAAGCCCCUGCCCUUUUUAUAGUGAAUGCGGUCACUUUUGCAGGCUUUGUGAUAGCGAGGACUGGAGUUUAGAGAGAGAAAGUAGUAGUGGAGUUUAGAGAGAAAAAUUACAAGCUGAUGUGCACGGGAGAGAAGGCCGGAGAUAGAGGAUUUUUUUUUUUUGGCAAGAGACGAUACGUAGAUUACCCGCUAAGCAUAUAAUAGAUUUCACAGCCACCAUGCGCGUAAUAAAUUUUACAUAUUUUGGAAAAAUCUUUGUAAA